CUACCCAUGAAAACGACACUUGCUCUCGCAGCGCACGUUGCAUUUAUCUUACACAGGCAACGCUAACGUAUUUUGUGAUAUAUUGCCAAUGCAACACCAGUGCUUUUUAAUCAGCGUAAACUCGCUCAGUGAUAGAUUAUUUUGCCAUUGCUAUCUUGCUGUUUCGACGCAUGGCAGGUAUAGCAAGAGCGAAUUCAGGUUCAAGGCCUGUACUGCCGGUACGCAGAUAACGGAAUGAGCAGUGGCUAUAUAUAUGGGAUUGCACGUCGGCACGCAAACAAAAUCCCGCGCGCUGCCGUGCAUUCAAGGGAGCCAGCCGCGGAUCCGUUCCAGCCUGCGAGAUGAAGUCCGCCACCGCUGCACUGAUGCUCCUGUUGCUACUGUUCUCGGCAUCUGUUCCAGUCAUGGCUCGGUGUCCCAGCAACGAAGGCGUCUUCAGUGACUGUGCCUACACCGAGUGCUCGCCGGGCGAGUGUGCCGCUAUCGGCCUCGAAUGUUGCCCAAAGCCUUGCGGGGGAACCUGGUGUGUCAGAGGUGUUCUGCGCUAGCCGCCAAAGCCGUUGUGGUACUAUGGCACUGACUGCCGUCAUUUCCUAUAACGCCUGCAUACAGACCAUGGCGCCUUUACUCCGCUUCUGGUGGAGAAAAUAAACGCCUAGCACAAGACAUCCGUUUCUGUCUUUGCUAUGUUAUCACUGU